AAUAUGCCAUAAUCACUUCCUCUUUUACUUGUGAGCUCACCAUUUACAAUACUUCUCUCAUAACUCAUUUGAAGCUUCACAAUUGUCAUAGCAACACUGAAUAAACAAGUAACAACAAUUAUUACAAUUUAUUAUUCUGUGCAACAGUUACCCUCGCAUCUGGCAUCUGUUUGAAGAAGAAAAAGGCUUUGCCGCAUCUUGUUCCCACGGUGUUGCAUCGUGUGAGAAAUUGAAGAAAGAUUGAUCCACUACUACUUACUCGUAGUACUUCAACCUCUAUUUUGUUACCCUAUUACAUCUGCGCUUCAAAACCGCACUAACAGGCAACGGUGUCUGUGAUGGGUUCUGCUGUGAAUGUUCAUACUUCCUGCAAUAUCGAGAUACGCUAAUUGGCUUGCUUGCUAACAAGGCAUUUCAAUGCACCGCUUUGUUAUAACUCUCUGCAUUCGUCUCCAUCUUUCCACCCCUCUUCCAACCUAAAAUCCUCUCAGUUACCGCAAUGGACGCGCGCGGCAUUGUAUAGGGAAACAUGACGUUAAAGCAGGUAUAAUGAUGUGAAUUAUUCCAUCUGAAAUUGAAAAUCAUUUGGAAGAUGCUGACAGCGUGAGAAAGAGACAGGUUUUAUAACAGGGGGAUAUGGUAUUUUAAGAGGUGAUAUAAUUGUUAAAACCAACAACAUACUGAAGAAAGGUGCUCUCAUUUCAAAGUAUAUAACACUUGAACAACCCAUUGACUCCUUAGGGAUGACAGCAAACCAGUCCUGAUUAAAUCCUGCCAGAAGAGGGCACUGACCCUUAUUUCCAGAUCAUAUAUAAAAAAGUGUUCAACCAAGUUCAAAUAGUUGCAUUGAUUGAAAUUAAAAAAUUAUCUCAUUUCA